rnacentral:rRNA from 1 species
UACGGAGGGGGCUAGCGUUGUUCGGAAUUACUGGGCGUAAAGCGCACGUAGGCGGCUUUGUAAGUUAGAGGUGAAAGCCCGGGGCUCAACCCCGGAAUAGCCUUUAAGACUGCAUCGCUUGAACACGGGAGAGGUGAGUGGAAUUCCGAGUGUAGAGGUGAAAUUCGUAGAUAUUCGGAGGAACACCAGUGGCGAAGGCGGCUCACUGGUCCAUUACUGACGCUGAGGUGCGAAAGCGUGGGGAGCAAACAGG